UACGGAGGGAGCUAGCGUUAUUCGGAAUUACUGGGCGUAAAGCGUACGUAGGCGGCUUUGCAAGUUAGAGGUGAAAGCCUGGAGCUCAACUCCAGAACUGCCUUUAAAACUGCAUCGCUUGAAUCCAGGAGAGGUGAGUGGAAUUCCGAGUGUAGAGGUGAAAUUCGUAGAUAUUCGGAAGAACACCAGUGGCGAAGGCGGCUCACUGGACUGGUAUUGACGCUGAGGUACGAAAGCGUAGGGAGCAAACAGG
rnacentral:rRNA from 1 species